CGCGGUAUGGGAUGGGGUCGCGUCCUAUCAGCUUGACGGCGGGGUAACGGCCCACCGUGGCUUCGACGGGUAGCCGGCCUGAGAGGGCGACCGGCCACAUUGGGACUGAGAUACGGCCCAGACUCCUACGGGAGGCAGCAGUGGGGAAUAUUGCACAAUGGGCGCAAGCCUGAUGCAGCGACGCCGCGUGAGGGAUGGAGGCCUUCGGGUUGUAAACCUCUUUUAUCGGGGAGCAAGCGAGAGUGAGUUUACCCGUUGAAUAAGCACCGGCUAACUACGUGCCAGCAGCCGCGGUAAUACGUAGGGUGCAAGCGUUAUCCGGAAUUAUUGGGCGUAAAGGGCUCGUAGGCGGUUCGUCGCGUCCGGUGUGAAAGUCCAUCGCUUAACGGUGGAUCCGCGCCGGGUACGGGCGGGCUUGAGUGCGGUAGGGGAGACUGGAAUUCCCG
rnacentral:rRNA from 1 species